GAUGAAUGCUGGCGGCGUGCUUAACACAUGCAAGUCGAGCGGUAAGGCCCUUCGGGGUACACGAGCGGCGGACGGCUGAGUAACGCGUGGGAACAUGCCCUAAAGUGAGGAAUAACUGCCCGAAAGGGUGGCUAAUGCCGCAUAUGAUCUUCGGAUUAAAGGAUUUAUCCGCUUUAGGAGUGGCCUGCGUACGAUUAGCUUGUUGGUGAGGUAAUGGCUUACCAAGGCGACGAUCGUUAGCUGGUCUGAGAGGAUGACCAGCCAGACUGGAACUGAGACACGGUCCAGACUCCUACGGGAGGCAGCAGUGAGGAAUCUUCCACAAUGGGCGAAAGCCUGAUGGAGCAACGCCGCGUGCAGGAUGAAGGCCCUCGGGUCGUAAACUGCUUUUAUGAGUGAAGAGUAUGACGGUAACUCAUGAAUAAGCACCGGCUAACUACGUGCCAGCCGCCGCCGUA
rnacentral:rRNA from 1 species